rnacentral:rRNA from 1 species
GACGAACGCUGGCGGCGUGCUUAACACAUGCAAGUCGAACGCUGAAGCUCAGCUUUUGUUGGGUGGAUGAGUGGCGAACGGGUGAGUAACACGUGAGUAACCUGCCUCCUUCUUUGGGAUAACGCCCGGAAACGGGUGCUAAUACUGGAUAUUCACUGGUCUUCGCAUGGGGGUUGGUGGAAAGGGUUUUUCUGGUGGGGGAUGGGCUCGCGGCCUAUCAGCUUGUUGGUGGGGUGAUGGCCUACCAAGGCUUUGACGGGUAGCCGGCCUGAGAGGGUGACCGGUGACAUUGGGACUGGGAUAAGGCCCAGACUCCUACGGGAGGCAGAAGUGGGGAAUAUUGCACAAUGGGCGAAAGCCUGAUGCAGCGACGCCGCGUGAGGGAUGGAGGCCUUCGGGUUGUGAACCUCUUUCGCUCAUGGUCAAGCCGAAACAAUGGUUGUGGUGAGGGUAGUGGGUAAAGAAGCGCCGGCUAACUACGUG